UUUGCGAGGCGAAAUAAACGAGAGGCGAGAUUUAAGAGCCUCUGGUCACAUCGGUUGCAAAUCCCGCUUCCACACUUGAUUAGGUUCAGAAUUUGAAUCUCGCAUGUGAUUGGCCAUUUGUAAACAUGUCAAACCGGUUUGGGAAAUAGACAAGCAAAUUAUAGCUUUUAUAGCUUGAAGUAAUGUUGUUUUCCCAAACCGGUUUGGCAUAUUUUUACAAAUGGCCAAUCACAUGCGAGAUUCAAAUUCUGAACCUAAUUAUCAAGUGUGGAAGCGGGAUUUGCAACCGAUG